rnacentral:rRNA from 1 species
AGAUUGAACGCUGGCGGCAGGCCUAACACAUGCAAGUCGAGCGGUAGAGAGGUGCUUGCAUCUCUUGAGAGCGGCGGACGGGUGAGUAAUGCCUAGGAAUCUGCCUAGUGGUGGGGGAUAACGUUCGGAAACGGACGCUAAUACCGCAUACGUCCUACGGGAGAAAGCGGGGGACCUUCGGGCCUCGCGCCAUUAGAUGAGCCUAGGUCGGAUUAGCUAGUUGGUGAGGUAAUGGCUCACCAAGGCGACGAUCCGUAACUGGUCUGAGAGGAUGAUCAGUCACACUGGAACUGAGACACGGUCCAGACUCCGUACGGGAGCAGCAGGU